rnacentral:ncRNA from 20 species
CUGCGCAUGAACCGGUGUUCGCAACUUUUGCACGCCAGCGUCGCUCCAGCCAUCCACCCAGCUUCCUCGUUGAUCUGGAGAUGGCGCGGUCGUCGCUGGAUCGUAGAAAGUUGCGUUCUGAGAUCAUACGGUUUAACUUGAUCUGGAUAAUACCAGCGAAAGGAUCUUGCGAUCUCUUCUC